CAACCUGCCCUUCAGAGGGGGACAACAGUUGGAAACGACUGCUAAUACCGCAUACGAUCUAACCUCGGCAUCGAGGAUGGAUGAAAGGUGGCCUCUAUUUAUAAGCUAUCACUGAAGGAGGGGAUUGCGUCCGAUUAGCUAGUUGGAGGGGUAACGGCCCACCAAGGCGAUGAUCAGUAGCCGGUCUGAGAGGAUGAACGGCCACAUUGGGACUGAGACACGGCCCAG
rnacentral:rRNA from 1 species